CUCGUUUAGCGUAUGUAUGUAUUUGUGUAUUCCUUCUGACAUUUUUAUUAUUAUGAGAGAGUUCCCCUGAAGGGGGAUGAAUAAUGAAAACGCAGCCUUUGGAUGUAGGGAAAUGGGGAGGCAGAGAGUAACGGCUCCGCCUGAGGACACCUCACUGCAGCGCGUCCCCUUCCCACGCAGAGCCGUCCCCAGCACCGCAGCUGCCCUCCCCUCCUUCCACCCACCGGCAUGAACACGGGUGUAUCACAUCUACCACCCCUUGUCAUCCCUCCAGUGAGCUCUGUGUCUCUUCUCCUGCCUCCAGACCUCUUCCAGAAGGGUGCUCGUGGGCAUCGGAUCUCCUCUGCUGUCCCUCCUGCCCAGGCAACAUUGGGUUGGUGACAUGGAGAGGGGAGAGCUGGAGGUGGUGUUUGCCAAGGGGGUGUUUCUGAUGGGGAGGAGUGCAGGUGCCAUCUGAUGUCCUACUAAAGUGUCCCUUGAACAUCCCUGGGAAGGCUGCAAAAAGGGCUGGGGUAGCCUCCACACAGCGGUGGGCAGCAGCGGGGCGUAUGGCGAGGGGGAGAAAUAGCUGCCCCACAUCUGCCCCACACCUGCCGCUUCUGGGGAAUGACUCCCAGGGCAGAAGGCAGCACCGAUGUCACCAGCUGGGUUUAUAAAAAUCAACAGUAUCAGUUUCCGUGGCAACCUCGCCGCCGAGCUGGAAGCGAGCACCAUGGCCCCCCUUCACUGCAGAGGUGCGGGAAGGCUCUGGGUGACAGCUCCCGGGCAAAGCAGUGUCCCCACUGCAGCGUGGCACUGGGCAAGAGAUUUGAGAGGAAAGCUUUGGCAGAGGGCUGGCAGCAGCCAGCGAGUUUACCAUGGGAUCCGAGCCAGACACUUCUUAGGGAGGCAAAUGAGAUGCCAGGAGGAAGAGCAGGCGAUGAUCUGGGGGCAAAGAGGUGCAUGCAGUGUGGGGCUUCCCCAGCAAGAAGGGGACGUUACGAGGAGACCAGGCUUGCCUUGGAGGCUGGACCCUUCCUCAUCAGAAGUCCCUGCUCCUGAACCACGUGCUCCAUGGAGGAUUCCUCCUGCUUUUGCUUCAGUGCUCGUGACUCACACGGAGCUUGAGAAAAAGAAAAAGAUGUAUUCCUAAACAUUGUUAUUUUGGGUUCAUGAAAAACAGAUUGUUCACUAGGUAACAAGAGAACAACUUGCCAGACACAUGUAGAGGUCACGAUGAUUGUGAUUCAUCUUACUAAUCCAGCAGGUAUCUAGAGCCAUUUAAAACAUCUUUAUGCUUGGCAGUGAUUCACAGCGACUGCUCCCAAGCACCUUUCCAAAAAAAUGCACGCUUUCUUCACUUCUCUGUGGCUGUGAGAGCUCUUCACACAAGGUAAGGAGAAAGCAGUCAAGCAUUUGCCAGAUAACCAUGAGCCUCACCUGCAGACAAGAAGAUUCAGACAAAUCUACAUUUAAUGUCUGCACUCAGAUAGCAAAAUGUGAACACACCGCCUGCAGCAGAGCUCUGUGAUGGACCCUGCUCUGAGCACUCACAUUCAAUAUCCCCACAGCCUUCACACAUAGCUCAACAAGAAGCCCCUCCAGGAGGUAUCUCCAGAACGAGACUCCAGAAGAGCAGCAAAGCUUCUCCAGCCCUAUAACAGUGCUGACCACAAGCACAGGGGCCUUCAUCUGUGGGGUGGUGGUGGGACAUCAGGAGAAAGGAGGUGAGGUGCUCAGAGGGUCUGUGGGAACCUGAGACUGGAUGAGGAGAGGGUAAAAUGAGGUCCUCCAGAGAGGGACUGGUGUCUGGCUUAAAUGCAGGAGCCACAGGUUCAGACUGGAGUGAGUGGGAGUGGGUAGAUGUGGUGUGGGUGGGAGGCCAGGGCUUGGGCAGGGAGAAAAGGGGGGGAGGUGGGAUGAUGUAGGUUGCUUGGAGAGGUGAAGGAAAGGCCAUCAUUCCCUUCCACAUCCCAUGUGGUUCUUGGAGGAGCAGAGGAAGGUGUGUGCAAGAGCAGGGAAGGAAAGACAUUGGCAAGUUUAAAUAGACUUGCCAAUAGCGGAGCCUCUGCCAUCUUGCUAGGCUGGGAUUUGGACAUCUGUAUUGUCAGAGCAGUAUUUGGGACAGAUCUGGGCUAAAUAUGAACGUUUUAGUCAGAGAAAUAGUACCCUUUCUGCCAUUUCAUUAUUGAGGAAACCAAUGCAGGUUAAAUCCACAGGAAAAAAUGAACCAGUCCUAUUCAAACUGUCUUUAUCUGGGAAAGCAUGGGUCCCAUUUCCAUUUGUAUUCCGGGGAAGAGAUCUUCAGCCUAAGCUUUAAUGUCAACACAUUGAAUUAAAGGGUUUUUCAUUAGUUACAAGGAAGGUGAAAAUCAUCUCCUACUGAAAUGUGAUUUGCAGCAGCGAGCUGCAGGGGGAUGAUUGCGCCGGCUCAUGCAACAGGUUGCUGCUCUUCCCUGUGAACACAAACCGGCAGCACCUGAUGUGGGAGCAGGAGAGCCCUGGUCCCACUGCGUCAGGGCAUGCUUGGGCAGGCGGCUGGGCAUCCGGGUCUUGGUCACCACCCUCUCUGUCCCACCCCAAAGUGGAGCGUGGGUGCGCUCCGUGUUCCCGGGGUCAGAGCUCAGCCGUGCCUUGGGAUUUGGUAGCAGAGGUUUUAGCAUCACUUUGGAGCUGGGAAGUGGCUGGGGAGCAGCCCACGCACCCGGUCCAGGAUGUGUUGCUCAUCGUGCCUCCCACAGCACACCCACGGGGCGUCAGAGGGUCGAGGAGAUGCGUGGUGGGAUCAAGCUGCUUUGUCUUUCUUUGAGGAUGGACCUUUGAAGAGUUCAGCCAGCCAAAGAGGAUUUAGGCAGCCAAGAAGGAGCUGAGGUUGGAGGACUCACACGUAGCUCAUGGUUUCUUCCCCGCUGCAGCAGAGGUCGGGCUCUGUGCAGCACUGAAGGAGGGAGGAAGCACGGUGUGGGGUGAGGAUGCAAGGAUGUGUGCAUGCAUUCAUCCAUCAAGCACAAACAUAUAUAUGCAGCUGUAUACAACCUAUUUACACAAUUUUACUGGGGUAUUUUUAUUUUUUAUUACACUAUAAAGCAAGAAUAAGUGAUCAGAAACAAAGGAAUUUAGUUAUCAGCUGCCAAAAACAAGACGGAGAUAGAAGCACUGCAAUAAAUUGCACAGUCCAUAAAAAAUUCCA
rnacentral:lncRNA from 1 species